UUUUUUGUUUGAUAUGAGGGGUUCUGUGACUGAGGUUCUGAGCUGCUGUUGAUGUGCUAUACCUCCUUCAAUUCUCAGCUCUCAAAGGGGAAAACAACUGCAGAGGAUGGGAAAUGCUAUACUGCCACGCCUGGAAACACCCACAGGAAAAUUACCAGUUUUGAGCUUGCUCAACUGCAAGAAAAACUGAAGGAGACAGAAGCAGCCAUGGAAAAAUUAAUCAACAGAGUGGGACCUAAUGGUGAGAGCUGCCACCUACAGUCUGGGUGGAGAACUACCCAGGCUAUUAUAGACAGUUAUGGCUGAAAAAAUAUCUUUACACUCACCUGGGCCAUUGGCAACCCCAGGCCACACCUAAGGGUCAUGAAAACCAGGAAUCCAACUUACAAGGGAUGUGAAGGACCUCUUCAAGGAGAACUACAAACCACUGCUCAAUGAAAUAAAAGAGGAUACAAACAAAUGGAAGAACAUUCCAUGCUCAUGGAUAGGAAGAAUCAAUAUCAUGAAAAUG
rnacentral:sRNA from 1 species